rnacentral:misc_RNA from 1 species
AACGCACAUUGCGCCCUUUGGUAUUCCGAAGGGCAUGCCUGUUCGAGCGUCAUUAUCACCCCUCAAGCCCCCGUGGCUUGGUGUUGGACGGUCUGGCGGAGUUCCGUCUCUGCCCCUCCUAAAGACAAUGACGGCGGCCUCGUGGCACCCCCGGUACACUGAGCUUCUUUAUUGAGCACGUAUCGGAUAAAGGGUCCUCGGGACACGGUCUUCUCCCCACUAAACGGGAAACUCCUUUCAAGGUUGACCUCGGAUCAGGUAGGAAUACCCGCUGAACUUAA